CAGUGUGAAUGGAGCGUGAGUGAGUAUGUGGGGACCGGGACGGGCGACUGCGGCCGCGAGUACGAUGCCGGCGAGGUGGUGGCCUUGACGGGGCCUUCCAAGUACGGGCGUUACGAGGCGCGAAUGCUGCCCAACGUCUUGUGGGCU
rnacentral:rRNA from 1 species